rnacentral:lncRNA from 1 species
ACAGACUGUGACAGGCAUGUCCACUUCAUACUUGAAACCAAAUAAAUUGCCUCCCUUCUCUGGGGAAGGAGAGCAUAAGUCAUAGUGAAUGAGACCUUUGGGCAAAGUUUCUCAACUUCAGCACUGCUGACAUUUUGGAAUGGAUAAUUCUCUGUUGUUGGGGGGUGUCCUAUGCAUUGUAGGAUCUACUCACUACAUACCAGUAGCACAACUUUUCUGUGACAACCCAAAAUGCACCCAGGUAUUACCUAAUAUCCAGGAUGGUAGUGGGAGUGUAAAAAUUGCUCUUAAGAAUCCCUGCCCAGGGACUUCUUUUACCUAGAAAUAUGAGGGGAAAGCAGUCAGUGUUCCUCAUUACUGAAAACUAGCAAUUCAGUGAAUUUGGCCACUAGGUUUUAAAUACCCUGACUAUUUUGAAAAGUAAACCUUAGGAAAGCACCUUUCAAACUGGCAACAGUGCAAAAUAAAUUCUAACUAAUGGUAACUCAGACAUUGUUAUAAGAAAAGUCAAGGUUUGCUAAGAAGAGGAAAGUCAUUAUUUCUACUGAUCGAAAACAGAAAUAUAAAUGUUAUUAAUAAUAAUUAGCAUAUGAGGAUAAAGACAAAAAAAUGAAAAUUAUAAAAGUGGAAGGGAAGAAUAUGACCAGAUUAAUCUGCCCAACAUUUACUUGUUCCCUGUGUAGUACAGAGCAUUCUUCUUGAUAUUGUGGGGGAUUAUAUACUGUACCUAUAGUAUAUCAUCUCAGCUGUGUCUUCCCUGUUGUGAAAAAUAUGGGCAUUAUGACACACACCCAUAAAAAGUUCAAUAUCAGUAUCACAUAGGGUGUGAGUCAAUGCAAUUCAGCACUCUUCUUUUGCCUUUUGGAAUCUAUCUUUUUGGUCCCUGGGGUGAAGGAAACCCUGGCUUUGUUUCUGUUCUCAGUCUGUAAGUCUGAUGUCCUCCUCCAAAAGAGGUUUUUUCAUCUGGACUAGGUAAAUUACAUAUAUUCAAAUAUAUCAGUUUUACAUGUAGCUGCAGACACUGUGCAGUAAACUAACAGAAAAGAAAAAAGAGCUGUCAGCACCUGGCUUGGCUAGCUAAGGUUAUGGGAUAAUACAAGAAACUAGGAAUAAGAGAACCAAGUGUGUGCUGUGAUGAGGUUGUGGGAUAGGCAUGGUCAUGUGACCAGAAUCAGAAGUCAUUUAAAGACAAAAUGUAAUCUUGGGUCAGAAAAUGCUUGGUAAAAAUGAAAAAGACCCAAAUAGUUAAUGGUUUCCAAAUUUUUGAUGCCAUAUACUCCUUCAGAGAUGUGAUGAAUGCUACAUAACUGUUCCCAAAGAAAUGCAUACAUGCACAAAACUUUUCUAGAGUUUUAGUAGGUCUUCACAUAUCAUUGAUCCAGGAUAAAGCAAAAGUUAUUCGGUCUAACUCUGGAUAGCCAGGGUAACUAACUGAACAAAAGAAUUCUCCUUUGCAAUUACUACAUGAGAUAAUGCCCUAAAAGCAGCAGUAACAGCAAAAUAGAUAUUGUGGGCAGUUGUAUAGAUAAUUUGGAUUCAGGAAUCUUUUUCAAGAAAAGGGUAUGUUUGGCCUCUAUUAUCUUUUGAUUAAAUAUUUUAUUGAUAAAAUUCAUGAGUCUUUGAAAAAAUUCAUGAAUCUUCAACUCAUAGUGCCUGUGGACAGAGCCCUGGUCUAAAUAAAUACAUAUCCUAAAAAUCUCUUUUUCUAGUUUAUACCACAUAACUGACCCUUUAAUUAUAAAAUUUUAAAAUUUGGCAUAGAAGAGAGAACAAAACUAGGACAAACAUUAAAUUAAUAUGUGCCUUAAACUAUUUUAACACAGAUAUCUGUGUUCUUGGAAUAUGUUGUGCUGUCUAUGUUUAUUUCCUCAGUUUUUGGUGUGUUUCUUUGGAUAUUCUACUUUGGUUUUCUAUUUUUUUAAAAAAAAAUCCUAUUCAGAUUUCCCUUGUUCUGGAUAUAACAUGCUCAUCAUUACAUUACCUCCACCUUUGGUGGUAGCAACAGAGAACAUAUAUGAAAACUAUAAAUUACCUCCCCAAACCUACACUUGUUCAUCUACCACAAUCUCAACUUAGCCCUUAGAUAAGCUAACAUAAAAGCUAACACAUUGUCUGCUGUAUGUCAGGCACUAUCCUAAGUACUUUAUAAUAACUAUUUCAUUUAAUUCUCAAAGAAUACUACAAAGUGCUGAUUUUCAUCAUUGAUUCCAGUCUCUCAAAUAAGGAAGCUAAGGCCCGAAAGGUUAUAAAUGACUUUGAUUACCACUACUAAAAGGAACAGAGCACAAAUGCAAACUCCAGCCUUUGACUCUCAAUGAAAAGAGUUUUUUUGGCAUCUUCACUCUACUACUCAUAUGCACAGUUCUUUAUUUGGUUCUCUUUUGAAUAGCCAUUAUUUUUAUUUUUAAAAAUUUCCAUCUGUUUCCAUGUGCCGUUCCAAUACAUAGCUCUGUAUGUAAUUCAGAAACAGUGUUAAUCUUAAUAUCCAGUUAGCAGAUCAAUCAAGAGAUGGCUGCUUUCACGCUGCAGGGCAUAAAUGCAUUCCAUGCACAAUCCCCAAACAGAGGUGGUCACUCUGCUGCAUUCUAAGCAUUUAUAAAAUUUUCACUUAACUUGUACUAGAAUUCUGUUUCAUCUGUUUCCAAAUCUCUUCUUUCUGUGAGUCUGAAAAAGACCACUCUAAAUACUUUUGUAUUCGAUGCCUUAAUUUUUCUCUUUUCUUAAUUUUUCUUCUCACCUUGUAAGAGAAAGGAACUUAGUCAAGUGAAGAGAGCCCUUUCGGGGGUUCAGAAGGCUGAGAUUUUAUUCUUGACUCUGCUACUGACCUGUUAUAUGCCCUUGGGUUUAACCUCACUGCACCAGACUUAGUGAAGAGGUUGUUUCAGCUUCUCUGCUAACAUGCACUCAAUGGGCCAAAUCCUUCAAAUGAGCCAAUUGCACUUGGGGAUUAAGUUAAGCCAUUUGGAGGGGCAUUAACCCUUUCUGGUCAAUGAAUUUUUUAUGCACGAGUAGAAUAACUGACUAAACAGUGCCUACUGUCCUUCAUUACGCACUCCUCCUCCCCCUAUCACCUAACUUAUACGGAAAGUGUCACAUUCAGUCAAUAAGCAAGCAAUACUUGGGAGAAGUGCUGAGCAGUGGGAAAAAAGGAAUAGCAAGUAAAUGAAACGACCCUCAACAAACAGGUGAACAAACUAUAGAAAUCAAUGAGAUGAGAAUGGACCACUUUCCCCUCUUCAUUGAAUUUAGUAGCUGCCUGUUUGUCUCUUCUCUCCUUUGCUGGCUGCAGCAUUCCAGGAGUAAACAUGUCAUAGAACAGCCCUGCAUGGCCACUGCAUUGCCUGGGAAAGAGCCUAUUCAUUAAGUUCAGGGAUGGCAUCCAUUGCCCUCUGGAUCAAAGAUAAACUUCUAACUGUUGCCUUCAAAGCUCUCCAUUAGCAGGACUCACUCUACUUAUCUGUUCUAAUCUCAAGCCCAUCAGUGACAUUCUCUCUAGAGUAGACCCACGUUCACUACUGCCUCCAGUCCUUCUCCUGAGACUUACCAUAUACACACCCCUGCCUCCUACCUUUCAAUUUCAUUGGAUUCCCUCCUUUCACAUGAAGCACAAGACUUGCCUCCUCCAAAGCAUCCUUUUUUCAGUCUUUUAAUGUAUUUUUCUUUAUAAUGAGGUUGGGGCAGUGAUUAGAUUUGUAUGUUUCUUGAGUACUGAGGUCCUUUUAUUAAUUGACAAUUUAGAUAUGUAAUCCAUAGCCAGGAAGCUUGUUGAUAGGGUAAGAAAUGAGAGGACCAAAUUUUACAGUCUGGGGAUACAGCAGUGUUCUUAUGUAGUUGCACAGAUUUUGUGAACAUCCUUUUUCAGUCUGGAUUGUUGAAUUGUAUUUACAUAUCUAAUUAUAUACUAUGUAUGGGUCCCUAUCACAAAAUAAAGAAAUCUCUCUAAAUUAAAGUAAAUGGAUUAGAAAGAGGGAAUUAUUUUUUUUCUGUUAAACAAUUAAUUUAAAAUCCGAAAGUGAGAGCUAUGGGCUAGGAAUGAACAGAUGUUUAAUAAUUUGUUAUUCCACUUUGUUAUAGUAUUUCCAGAUAAAACUUGAACAAGUGUGUAGUUAUGUAGCCUUGAGCAAAUUAACUAAUCUCCUUUAGCCUUGAUUUCUUCAAUACGAUAAAGAGAUAAUUUCACCUAACUCCAUGGUUGAAUGAGAACAAGACAAAAUAAAUCAUACAUACUAUUCCUGGCACAUAAUAUGCUCUCAAAAAUUGAAAGUUUUGUGACUCUCUCCCAUCUCUUUCUAGUUUCUGCAUGUGUCACCACACAUUUAAUCUUUUGAAUAUUGCUGAGAAAGGUAGUAAACUUGGAAAAAUAGAAUGAAAACAAAUAUAGAAAAAAUAAACUCUGUGAGUGAUUAAAAGGUGACAAAUGCAAGUUUUAAUUUUAAAUAGGAUCUUCUGGCUGACAGCCUAAACUUAGCCCACCAAAGUAUCUAAGAAGAUAUAACAAAAGGUAACAAUGCAUUAAAAUCCUGAAAACUAGCUGAUUGUCAUGUUAUUGCCAGAAUCUGGAUGAAAUGUCCAAUAACAUUAAGGCUGAUGAAACUGUACUAAAACAAACAAUUGAUAGCCCUUUCUUGGUAUACUUUAGAAAAGAAGCAAUCCCCGCUUUCUUGAAAGUUGUCAGGAGCACCUUUCAUCUCUCUCCUCAGACUCUAUUUCCUGGUUCAGAAACACAAGGUCAAUGCCAACCAAAACAACUAUAAAGGUGCUAUUUUUUUAAAGCAGCUAGAAUUCUGGUAGACUGUAUUCUGGCAGCUAUAGAGUCUGCAAUAAAAUACUAGGAAGGGGAAAAAAAAUAAAUGUAGAGCUAGAGGGCCUUGAAAACAUAAUACAUACUAAGGGUUGUAAUUUAAUAUGUGUUCCAUCUGUACAGAAUGUUGGGCAACAAGAGUGUAAGGGUUCAUGUCAGGUCACUAUAACCUCCACUGACUGAAUAUAUUGCAGACAGUAGAAGUUGUGAUGGAAGUCAUGCACUUCAAAGUACUGACCAUGUCUAGAUCUGAGGAUGGGAGAGCACUUGAAGAUUGUUAGACCUGGGGAAAAGGGUAAUAUGUCAACACAAUGUCUUAUGAUAAACACUGGAUUUAGGUAGAUCCCUGCUCAAUUGAGGAUGAAUAAACAGAAAAUAACAGUUUAAAAGGGAAAAGAAGAAAGGACUUGGAAGGGUCCCAUCCCAUGCAGAUCCAGAGCUGAUCCUAAAAAUAUCCUGAAAAUUUCCUAAUUUUUUUUUUUUAGCCAGACCCAGAAGAUAGUUUUACAAAACUGUUUGGCAUCUUUAAUUAAGGUCAGAGAUGGCAUCUACUGCCCUCAGGAUCAAAGACAAACCCCUUUCCAUCAGUAUUAAAGCUCUCCAUUGGCAGGACUAACUAACCAAACAAUGAUCAUAAAACUCCUUACAAAACAGGAGCCAAAAUCCCCAAGGAGUGGAGAGGAGAGGAUAAGAUGAAAACACAGUGAAAUGAAAUGAAAAGGGAGUUGGAUAUCAUAAGAAAUGAUAGUAAUACUGGAAAAUACCCUUAAAGAAUUCUUUUUAAGCCAUGGCAAUAUUUUGUAAUUUAUAGAUGAUUAAGUUUCAGGCAGGAAUUUAUUCUUCGUUAAGCAAAUGUUUAUUGAAUGUUUACUCUGCCAGACACAGUGCAAGCAGUGAACAAGACAGAGCAAUAAACAGAAUUUAGGUCUCUAAUCUUAAAAUUAAUUUUAAGAUUAAUCUAAUCUCAAGUAUUAUAUUCCAGUAAGGAAUUCAGACAAAAAUUCGCACAUAUAUAUGCAAAUAGAACAUAUAUUUAAUGUAACCUGUCAACUAAGAAAAACUCACGAAGUAUACUUAAAAACAUUAUUAAAUUUAGAAAUUGGAAAGGAAAAAUUAUAAAGUAGCCAAAUUAAUUUUAAAAUAGUAUCAGUACCACAUAACAAGUUAGUCAAACAAAAAAUUACUAACAAUAAUAAAACAAUUUCUAAAAAACUAUAUUUGUAUAAAGUUGUGAAAUUAAGCUAAAACUUUGCACACAGAGAAAUUCCAAAAGUUAAAUUUUUAUUUAAGAACAAAUAAAUUAUGCAACAUAAGAAGCCAUUAGGAGAAACCUUCAGGCAACUAGCGCUAAAGUAAAGUAAAACAGAGUGUGAAAAAAAGAAACUGAGUAAUGAAAAAGAGUGAAAAGUUGGAACUUUUCAAGUCCAAGAUCUAGUUUUUCUAAAACAAAGAUAAACAACAAAAACAUGGCAAGUAAAACAAAGAACCAAAAUCAUAUUAAAACUGACAAAACUCAAACUUUAACUUCUGUCCGUGAAGUAAAACAGAAAUUUGAUACAUUCUUACACCUUAAACAAAUACUAAACUAGACAAAAUAAAUAAAACAACAAUUUUCAGACAUUAGACAGUGAGCAAAACAGGAAGGUAAUCUCU